CCCCCUAAUCUACCCAUUUCUAUUAGUGACUUUUAAGACACUAGUUCUAUUUUUGAUGUUAAAAAAAUAGUUUUUAGGCUCUUUGUUUGUUAUUCUUUUAUUUUCUUUUGUUUUUUUUUCCUGUUUCUGACAGGGGAUGUUCCCUCGUCAAGGGCUUGAUCCAAAGAUGAUUGUAGUCAAUAGGUGCCUCCCCACUGACUUGAAUGGACUUUGACUAAGACUGCCCUCAAGCCAGGGCCUGUUGAGACUCCCUUUAAAACAUCUCACUGUCCAUUUUUCAUUUACAUUAUUUCAAUUGGGAGGAUAGAAACCGGGCUUACUUCAGGAAUCAGUCUCUAGUUCUUUCAGCUGUUUUAGGGCGUUAUUUGAAGCUGAUUGUUUUUAAUAAGAAUGGGUGAUUUGGAGAAAUAAGCAGCACCCUGUUGAAAAUGCUGGUUUUGCAACAUGGUCCCCUUUUGUUCAGCUGAGGUGCUUUGUCACUGCAGUCUGCCACGAGUGAUAUUCUUUAGGGAUUGGUGAGAUUCUUGAAGAGAAUCUGUGUAUGUGAGAAUCUGUGGUUCUCCUUGUAGCUGUCUAGCCUCCCUUUGUCUGGUGAUGCUGACCUGUUUUUGAGAGAGAAAUGCUCAGCCCUGGCCUGUGGUUGGGGACUGGCCCUGGACUUGGGAGACCAGCAUGCAAUUCCUUUCUAUGUCAAAGAUUUGAUUGUGUGUGGCAUUGGGUGAGUCACUUCUGGUAUGUCCAUAUUGUAUUGUAAAUCUGGAUCUGUGGGACUUAAUGUUUGCAAGCCCAUGCUUGAGCAUUCACACUGCAUUGUAAAACUCGGUUAACAAUUGCUUGACUUGGGUCUUACAGCCAGGCUAAUGUAUCCACAUUGUAGUAUACAAGCCUUCUGACCUGAACGGUGUCCAUGUUGCAAAAUGACAGAACUUAGACCCAAGUUACAGUGGGACUUGGACUGUGACUCACCCACCCCCAGUAGGGUGCUAGGAUCUGGAUCCUAAGUGUUUGCUGACCUGAGUCAGACUGAUUUGUGUGUGACUAGCAGGGGGCUUAGGCUCAAACCUGAGUCAGAGUCCAGCCUUAGUGUGCAAUGUAGACAUACCCUUAAAAUACAUCAACUCUGCAAAGAAAAAAACCCAUGGUAGUUAGUCUCAGAACCCGGGUCAACAGACCAAGGCUAAAAAUAGCAGUGUAGACAUUUCCACUUGGGUUGGAGCUCAGGGUCUGAAGCCCAGUGAGGGAUGGGGCUCAGAGCCCAACUGCCAGCCCAAGCAGGAACAUCUACAAUGCUAUUUUUAGCCCUGUAACUUGAGCCCCAUGAGCCCAGGUCAGCUGACCCAGGCCCUGAGACUCAAUGCCAUGGUGGGGUUGUAGUUUAGGCAUACCCUUAGUCUCUCUGGCUCCACUCCUCAAAGGUACUCAAGCAUUGCUCACCACUGCAACUCCUAACCACUAGGCCAGUGGCCACCCAAUGGAAUUCUCAGCCCUGAGUGAGGCUCCCAAUGUCCCUGUGAAAGGUCUGAGGACAGUUAAAUGCCUAACAGUGGGAUCUUCAGAAGCCAAGGAGCUGCCUCUCCAGGAGUGAAAUGCCAAGGAGAGGUGGUGAGAAAAGAGGGGCUUAGGCACCUAAGCAGCUGACCUAGUGUGCCUAGCUGAUGAGACAGAGAGGUACUUCCCUCUGCUUGUGAUCCUCAGCCACAAACCCUCUCAUGGAGUUAAGUAUCUAGGGCCAAGGCUACACUGGCGCUUUAUAGCGCUGCAACUUUCGCACUCAAGGGUGUGAAAAAAACACCCCCCUGAGCACUGUAAGGUACAGCGCUGUAAAGCCUUAGUGUAAACAGUGCCACAGCACUGGGAGCGCGGAUCCCAGAGCUGCAAGCUACACCCGUAGAGGAUGUGGAGUACGUGCAGCACUGGGAGAGCUUUCUCCCAGUGCUGGCGCUGCGACCACACUCGCACUUCAAAGCGCUGCCGCGGCAGCACUCCCACGGCAGCGCUUUGAAGUUUCAAGUGUAGCCAUACCCUAAGCCAGGUUAGGUAAAUUAGCACAUGUACUAGGAGCCAGAACUGUGUCUGUCUGUCUCUCUCUCUCCAGCUCAUGCUUCAUAUCUCUCAUACUCCUCCUACAUUUCCCUGUGCCACUGGCAGUCUUUUGUGGGGCUGCGUUGCAGCACUUCUGCUUAUCAAUGUCCUGCAUCUGGCCCUGCAGCUGUAGGGUCUGAUUGGUAUCAGGCAUGCCCAGAGCACAGCUAGAGGAUUGGGCCCUGCUGGUGAGAAAGGCAUUCGCCCCCAUUUAGUUUGAGAGCUUCCUCUUGAUCUAGGGCUCCAAGCUGCUCAGUAGUGGGGGCAAGCAUUAGGGCUUAGGCAGCUAUGCAAAGGCUGACUGGUGGAAAUGUAGGCACUAGGGAGCUAGAUGACAGCUGAGAUGUGGUUUGGAAAAAAAUCAAUGGCACCAAAAUGGUGGAAUUGGGUGCCUGAAGAGAGUUGCCUAAAAACCUUUGUGGAUCUGUUCCUCUAAGCAAUUCUGAUCCCUGUCUGUAAAACAGGGACAAUUCUCCCGUCUCACAGGAGUGCUGUGAGGACAGCGAUGGGAGCCCUACAAACAUCUACUCAGAUUAAGUAUAGCAGCUACAUUUACGAGUUAUGUUUCUAUGCUUGUUCAGUCAAUUAGAAAUAUUCAGAACACGUUUCAACAAUUUGCAGCAAGUGAGUAAACUUGAUAUGUUCUGGUGAGUGUUGUGUGAAUCUCUGUUGGUUUAGCCUUUGCCUCUUUAACUAUAGGGUUUCUAUUUCUGAGAAGACAGUUUGACAGAAUUGUUCCAAACUAGAAACAAAUACCAUGAGGCCUUCAUCCUGUAUCGGAGUCUGAGUGUCACUGUCCCUAUAAAGAUCUUGGGGUCCAAGCUAAAAGAUCUGGGGCUAAAGCAUUGGAAUUCUUUUUAAAGCCAAGUUUGGUUGUAAUUCUGGGAGCAUCUCAUAAGAAAAGAGCCUUCCCUUAUCUUCAGGAAUUUCUAGUCCUCUCUUUCACCUUUCUACAUUAUCUCUGAGUUUGGUUUAAGGAGUGAGACCUUGAAUAUAUUCCAAGGACCAUUAAAGUAAGGCCAGAGCUGCACAAAGGGGAUUUAACAGGGCUGAGGAUGUGACCCUAAAAUGUAUCAUUACACAGCCAAGAUUUCUGGUUCUAGAAGAGUUUCUGGGAGAGAAGGUGAUUCUCCACAUACAGGUCAGUAUACAAUUAUUGUAUCUUCCUAGGGGACAGGACUGGUCUAUGGCAUAAAGGCUUUGUCUACACUAUGCUGCUUUUAGGGACACAGCUGUACUCUUGCUGAUAAAGCACUGUUUACACCGGCGCUUUUCCUCCACAAAACUAUAGUCUUUUGGGGAGGGGGUUGUUUUUUUAACACCUCUGAAUGACAAAAGUUUUGUCGUUCACUUGCCAGUGUAGACAAAGCCAGAGAGAGAGAGAGAAAUAAACAAGUUGUUUGGGGUUUUUUUAAGGAAUAACAAAGAUCUGUUAAAUACCAGAGUAGGAAAUGAGAUUGAUUAAAAUCAGAAUGUAUUCACAUUCAAUUGCAAGUUAUUCUAGGAAAUGUAAAAUACAGAUCUCUUAAUUAGAGUGAUGCAAAAGACUUCUUAAAAUCAAAGGUUCCAAACUUGCAAAUAUUUCCACACUUCAUGAGCUAAGCUCUGUUCCUGCACUGAGCUCCGUGCAUAGCAAAUGGGGCUCCAUUCUAGUGCAGCCUUAUGCCCAUGGACAGCUCAGAACAGGGUCUGGCCCUAAAACUGAUUUUCUCCUAAAGGUACCAACAGGAAAUUUGAACAUCGGCUGUCAACUCCUACUUAUCUGGCAUUUUGAGCUUAAAACAAUGGUUUAAUUAAUCUCUUGUUUGGGAUUUUGUCCUUGAGGUUUCCAAAAGACUCUUUAUAAAAGAUUUUUUAUGGCAGUGAUUAUAUUCUUGUGGUAACAUCUGAACUAAAUAUUAAUACGCUGUAUCCUGGAAUACGUCUUGAAAUUAAAAAUUAAACGAUGGGCCAAACUUCCUGCUGGCAUAAUGCCACUUAAGUUAAUGGAGUUAUAUCAUAGGGAGUUUGACUAUACAUAUGUAGGUGAGUUAAUGUAAAAUUUUCUCCUGCUCUUGUUUUUGACUGAGAACAUAUGCCCAGAAUCCCAAAUAUGUUCAUGAUUUUUUCAUAUUAUGCUUCUCAUUUUUGAUCCUAUAUUUCAUUUUCUCAAUUUGUGUUUAGAGAGAUUUUUAAAAUGUAUAAAGAAUAUUAAAGAGUAAAUAAUAUGUAGGGUCAAAUCUCUGGUCUCACAGAAGUCAAUAGCAAAACUCUUUUUGGCUUUAAUGAGUUCAGGUUUGGCUGGUGUGUGGUAUUGAUCUUCCCUCUUCAUCACACAGCUAGUAGUAGAUAGCAGUGACAUCAUAUCUUAGGUGUGCCCAUGCAACUAUCAAUAAAGCCUUUAUAUUCUUCUAAUCUCCUAACCCACCAGACUGCUAGGUAAGUAGAUUUAAAUGUUAAGAAACAGUCUGUGAUUUCACAGACCAAGAGCGGAGAUGAUUCAGUAGGAUACAAAUUCUUACACACUAAACAACCUGUAACCAAGCAAUAGUGUCACUCCUUCUCCAGUAUAACAAUUCCAAACCUCAAUUCCUGGAUUGAGAUUCCAUAACUCCUGAAUCAACGUGCCUAGCACAGAGCCUGAUCCCACCCCUGUUAAUCAUGUAAGUACCCCGUUGAGCACUGCUGACACCACAUGCAGUCUGUGUCCCCAUACAGCCUCGUUACUGUCUAGUAAAGUUCCUAGCCGUGAGAACAGUGAGGAAUUAAUUGACUAGCUUUUGGAACAGAUGACCAAGGGAUGUGGUAAAAUUCUCCCAUCAAUUUCAAUUUAGGUUUGGAUGUCUUCCUGAAAAAAAGAUGCUGAGUCCAGUUCAACCAGAAGAGGCUGGACUUAAUUCAGGAAUCACUGGGUGAAAUCCAGUGGCCUGUGUUAUGUAGCUGGUCAGAUUAGAAGAUCAUGAUAGUCCCAUCUGGCCUUAUAUUCCAUAAGUAGGUAGGGUGUUUUGUCCCUGAUCUCACACAAGUGUGUCAAAUGGGUUUUUUUGUUCUUUUGUGCAGAAAGGGCAUCCAACUAUGUCUGUUUCACUGAGGCUAUGUCUAUGCUGCGAGCUAGGAUGUGAUUCCCCUGCUCCCAUCAAGCUGCCGUGAGUAUAAAUAGUGAUCUAGCCAGAGUGACACCAGAAGUAUGACUGAGCUAUGUCAAGUAUGUACCCACCAGGUUCAGGCGGGUUUCAGAGCCAUGCCUCUGCUGCUGCUACCCAUGCUGCCACAGAUAAACUGCUAUUUACACUAAUGCUAGCUCAAUAGGAGCUCAAAAUGUAAUCAUAGCCUGAGUUCACCUGCCACUCUGCCUCCUAGGAAGCUGUCCAGGAGGAAAUCGCAAAGCACACUGCACCCUAUGAAAAGCACCCACAGAAUUCUGCCUCCAACUCCAGCAGCUGAAGCAGUAUGGGAUAGCUGCCCACAUUUUCGCAGAACUUCCCAUAACUGGCUGUACAGCUUAGUAGGUGUGGACAGGGCAACACAAUUGACCUAUAGUUGUGCCAGGAAUAUUGCUGCCAAUCAGGUGCAUGGAAACAUGUUAUCUCAGCUGUAUCCUUGUUCAUGAGCAUGUUCAAGGCUGGUUACAGUUAACAUAGUUUUAUUUGUAGAAUGGAUAGGGCUAGAGAGAGUAUUAUGGUAAUUUCAAGUGUGGAAACGCAGCAUGAGCAGACAAGCCCAUAAACCACAAAGAUCCUCUUUCAUACAAAUGUCCUUAGUGUACAGAAAGAAAAGGAGAAGAGAAGUACAAAAAAAUAAUAGCACGAAAUAUGAUCAAAACAUUAUCGAGGUAGAAUGUUUUUCAACAUUUUCCAUGAGGGGGGACAGAUCGGGGGGCCAAACAGUGAAGGGAUAGCAGAAGCUUCUUGCACUGCAGUGCAAAACCUUAAGUGCCAAAAUAGUGUUCCAGAUUUUCUUUAAAGGGGCUGGCCCGUAACUCAGUCCUGGUGCAGGGCAGUUCAUUCUCAGCACUGUUUGAAAUUCAAGGUCCUUGCAUCUAUUAGCAGAAGGCCCCACUAUUGAGUUAAUGGGUUUUAAUCAGCAUUGAAAUGCCAACACAGAAUACCAGUUUGAUUAUUCAGUUCUGGGCCAUAUGUUUGAUAGUAAAUAGAGGCAACAAUAGCAGCAACAUCAAUUAUUAGGGGUUUUUUUAUUAGUGAUAAAGAAUUUUUUUAACUGCAUAAUCCAGGCCAGCAUAUCUAGGGAAUGGGGGAGGGAAGCAUGGGAGGGGGAGUUUAUGUAGCUUGUAUUAAAAAAAAAUUAAUGCACAUGUGAUAUAAAGGGUGGAGAAGGGGGACAAAACUGCCAUGCAAGGGACAACAGAGAUAAAGAAUUAUGGUCCGUGUGUAGUGCAGGGUUGCAGACAUACUAGAGAAAAUAUAUUUACCCGCCAGCUCACAAGCUUGACCUUUCCUUGCACUUACACCUCCGUUAUCCCAGGCCAGGAAUUAAUUCAUACAGAGUCAUGUGAUGUUUUUGUAAUCCAGGGAAGAAUAGUACUGAGGUGAGGUGAUCACCAUAAUUAUACUGUAAGCUUCUAAUGCAUCUUUCAUCCAGGAAUCUUAAUGCAUUUGAUGAACACAGGUUCCCAUAGGAUCCAGAGAGGUAUUAUUUGCAUUUUAGAGAUGAACAGAGUAAGUCUAUAUUUACACUGCAAUAACAGGGUCUGAUAGCAGCUCAUGUAGACAUACCCAAGUUAGCUUUAAUCUAGCUGACUUGGAUACUGAAGCAGUGAUGCUGCAAUAGGACACGCAUCAGUGCAGGCUGGCUACCCAAGUAAUUACCCAAAGUCCCAGGAUGGCUUGUACAGCCUGCAGUAAAGUCCAUGCUGCUCCUCUUCUUUGCUCUAGUGUUUCAGCUAGUUAAAUUACAGCUACCUUGGGUAUUUCUACACCCACAAACUGCAACCGUGAGCCAUGAUUGCAAUGCAGACAUAGCUGGGACUUGUCUACCCAAGAAAGUUGCAUUGGUUUAACUGAAGUUGCAAUGUUAAAUCAGUUUAAUUAAACUGGUGCCACUGUGUGUGCUGACACAUGUAAACUUAUUGAAACCUGCCUUAUGUUGGUUUAACUUGCCUCUGUACAUUUGUAAAGGUGGUUCUACAUCAGUACAAGUAUAUCCACACAAAGAUUAAAAGGAGGCAAGCUUCAGGAGGGAAAAGGAAGAGAAAUGGGGAAAACACAAACAUGUUCAAAUUUUCAGUUAUUUUUCUGUCCAAAAAUCUGAAAACUUUCAAUUUUUUUCUUGAAAAUUUUCAAAAUAAUGAAAAUAUGUUACUGAUCUACUUCACAUUUUCCAAAGAGUUGUCUUGCCCACACCUUCUGAUACUAGCUUAUGGAAUGAGGGCUAAUAUGUGAGUGACCGAGGAAAAGGACUGUAGUGUGGGUUCGCUGAAGCAAACAGAAUUAGCAUAAAGGACAGGUUUCUGGGCACAUGCCAUAGGGAAAGACAGAUUAUUGUGCAAGAGGAAGAUUGUUUUGUAGGCAACAUAGAACACAAAGGGUUACUCUCUGUGUGACACUAGCAGUAAUGGAUUACUCUGCAAGUGACAGUGGCAGAAAGGAAGUUUUGUGCUUGUGUCACAGAAGGAAAAGGAUUACUGUGUAAAUGAUACUGGAGGGAAAGGAUUAGGCUGCAUGGGAUCCAGGAGAAGAGAGGUCAUUGUACAUACGUCACAGGAAGAGCAGGGUCAUGUGACAUGGGGCGGAAAGGAUUCUUUGAAAGUCAAAAAGAAAAUGAAAAAGAGAAGAAGGAUUAUUGUGCUAGUGUCAGUGGAAGACGAGGUUCCUUGUGUGCAAAAAUAAAUUGCUGUGUUACCAUGGGAAAGAGAACACAUUAGUUCAAAAAGAAGUGCCUGGAUUUUCCUUUGAUGAAGGCCUGUCUACACUGAAUCUGGCACCACUUAUUAGUUUAAAGGAAUACACUGUUCCCACAGAUAGAUAGAGCAGUGACUGAAUAAUGGUGGACACUUGUCCACCUUGAUCUCAACUUCUCUACAGUUAAAGAGUUGGCUUCUGUGGUGAUUUCCCCCGCCCUACCCCCUCAUAACAAAAAAAAGGAACUGCCCUGUUGCCACAGACAAGGCAGAGUGUAAUGUGCAAGUACCGUAGCUCUGAUGAGCUUCCAGGGCUUUACUUCUCAAUUAGCUUUCCAAACUCUAAGAAGGAUGGUUCAUCUCUCCAUAUGACCAGGUUUUGCUGAGAGGCAAUGUAAGUCCAGGCAGCUUAGGUUUUUCUUUCCUCUAGAAAUCACUUCCUUCUUUAAAAAAAUAACAAACUAACCAAGGAAUCAAUAGUUCACACUCUUCCUACACGUGGAGAUGAGUUUAGAAUUCUCAGUAGCCCUGCCAAUGGACAUUUAUAUUUCCACAUCACCAAAAUCACCCCCCCACACACUUUGGCAAUGUUAUCAGGAGUUGCAAGGAAUGGAUAAUGUUAUUGGUCAAGCCUAUGAUGCAGUGUGUUGUAUUUGUGUGGAGUAAGGAGGGGGAAGGAAAAUGGGGAAACUUCUACUCCUAUUUUGCCUGGUUCUAGGUCAGGGCUUCUCAAACUUUUUCACACCUGGAUCUUUCACACAGGGGCGGCUCCAGGCCCCAGCACACCAAGCAUGUGCUUGGGGCGGCAAGCUGCAGAGGGCGCUCUGCCGGCGCCACGAAGGCGGCAGGCAGGCUGCCCUCGGCGGCUUGCCUGUGGAGGGUCCACUGGUCCCUGCGGGAGGUCCGCCGAAGCCACGGGACCAGCGGACCGUCCGCAGGCAAGCCGCAGAAGGCAGCCUGCCUGCCAUGUUUGGGGCAGCAGAAUUCCUAGAGCCGCCCCUGCUUCCACAGUUGGCUACUCGCAACUUAUCUUUGGAUGCAGCUCAAAAUUCUUUACACCAGUUCCUGUUGCUCUUCAGAGCAGGUGACACUGGAAUUGGAGUAAUGGUUUAUGGGUCACUUUUCAGGCCAAAAGCAGCCCUGCUAAUUCUUUGGAUUUCGGGAGAACUGUAUCAGGGAUGAAUUUGUCCCCCUUAUGUCAAAGAGGGGGGAAAACUGCUGUUGCUGUGCCAGUCUACUUUUGCAGAAGGCCGGAAAGCAGGCAGAAGAGCAGUAUCAAGACUUCUCCCCACAAAUAAGUGUUUUGGGAGGUGGAAGGUAUGUGCAGCUCAUCCUGUGCCUGGGGCUGGAGGAGAGUGCAUUGCAGUCAGUGGUGGAAAAUGAGCUGGUCUGUGUCCACACAUUCUGGGCUUUUGGUGCAAACUUUGAACUAAAAAUCAAAUAUAUUGAUCAGAUUUCUUCAAAGCUGCUUCAGUAAAGUGGCAUGGCUGGUGGUCAAUUCCUGCAGGGUAGUCUACAGUGACUUGACAAGUCCCAGUCACCAGGAAACCUGAGUCUGCUAUCUUGACCUCCUCAGGCAAGUAUGGAUCUUUUUUUCCAUCCUGGCUUUCUGCUAUACAUAUCUGGCAAUAGCCUAUUUAUCCAAUAUAUCUUUCUCCAAGUGUUGUUAAUCUGACAGCUAAGGCAGUGAGAACCCUGUAGGGUUCAGUUCAUGAAGGGGAUUACAAACCAGUCCUUGCACUUCAAAUUGCAGUGAUUGAAAGGAAACCAACACCCGGAGCUUCACCUGAGUUAAUCCCUACUGCAGAUACAUUUCUUACACAGAUGCUUUCAACAGGCUGGAUUCUGAUACUCUACUCACAUGGAGAAGUACCUUGUUUCACAAGUACUUCCAUUGUCCAACUCACCCUGUGACCUAUUGCUGGGAAAGAGGGCAGCUCUUCAGAAGAGAGGUAAAUUGGCUGAGAGGAGGAAGGUUUGCCAGCUUCCCAUCUCAAUGUGUGGUGGAAGAGAAGAAUGUGUAGGGGAAAAUCAACCCAUGUGCUAAACUUUCUCAGGCAUGGGCUGAAAUUCAUGAAUCUAGAGAACUGUAAGCCCAAAGCUCAGUUUCAGGUGAGUUUGAUGUGAAUAUUUUGCACAACUCCCAGUGGCAAAUGCUGUUUUGGAUGUUGUUCUACCCUUGCAGAACAAACAGAGAGCAGAAAUAAGGUCUUAGCUGUCAAAAGUUUUGGACUGAGUUUCCUUUUAAGAAUGUGACACAAAUUUAAGGCUAAUGUUCUGCAUUUAACUCAAGCUGUCAUCCCUCUAGUGGUGGUGUUUUCUCAUAGGCACCUGAAGGCCAGAGUCUGCUUUGAAGCUUGUGGCUUUUGACAGUUUGUAUCUCUCCAUCCUCAGGAAUGCUGCUUAAGUGCAGCACUUUCAAUGCAUCCUUAUGGACUAGGACAACACAGUGGGGAAAAAACCUCUCAGACACUUCAGAUCUGAGUCAAAGCCCAGUAAAGUCAAUGGGAGUGUUUCAUGGACUUCAAUAGGCUUUGGAUCCGGACCUAAGGACCAAUGUAAAUCAAGAUAAUGGAAUCAUUACCCCUUAAAGCUGCUUGCCCUUCAUUGUGGAAUUAGUGACUUCAUCAACUCCAGCAGAACAAACACAGCCUGGCAGGUAAAAAACUUUCCAGGCAAAAAUGAGAAAAUAAGGAAACAUUUAUGGUUACUGAAGGCACCUACAGACUGAUGAGAAAGGACAUGAAACAAAUAGGCGAAGUUCAUCCCUGAUGUAACUCCAGUAUGUUUCCAAUUCAAACAAUGGAAAGUGAGGGGAGGGGCACAAAGAAGAGAAAUUCUUAGUAGUAAACAUGAUUAGAUGAAGCAAACAGCAAAGGCACCACUCUAACUGCAGUUCAUCAUACAAUGAGUUUCUUAACAACUUGGCCAUUUGGAGGGCUUGUACUUUGGCUCAGAGCUAUGCCAAUAGAAUAAAUCAACUUUACAUACACAACUGUCAAUCAAAACGGAAUCUAUAAACCUUGAAGGCUGAACCGGGAGAAUAAAUUAAAGGAUAAAAGGAAAACGAGGCAUGAGUAGGUCAGUAGGAUCAGGACAAUGAAGAAAAGAAGGAAGGAAGUAUUGCUGAACUAAUACACAAUGUACCUAGGGGUCUUGAACGGAAUCGACAAAAGCAUUUCUGUAAGCAGGGCUCCUAAUGCUGUCGCAUGCCUCUGGUUUUAAUGAGACUAAUGGGAUCCACUGGAACUAAAGGGUGAACUGGAAUACUUAUUUAGCUAAUUAAAUAUAUGCCCCUCCCACCCACUCCAGUUAUUAUAUGUAAAUAUAUACACAAAUCACUAUGAUCCAAAUCCUACUGUUCUUAUUCAGCUAUAUUCAGUUUGCACUGGGAUCAACAGUUUUGACUGGUUGCAGGCUGCUGCAUCUGGUCCUGCCAAGUUCUGUGCAUUAGGGACCAUCUGUGAAAUAGACUUUACAUUUGUGAUUGCAGUUUUGUGCACACAAGUGGGGGGAUGGGGGACCAGGAGAAGUGGUGAGUGGAAUGAUGAACAGACUUUCUCCCUCAUGCUGACACGAAGGCUGACAGACUCUGAAAAGAGGCCUAUUUGUCAAGAGACCUGUAGAAUAGAGGGGCAAAGCUUGGACUAUAGGAGUCCACUGCUAGCCACAAGUGGACCAAGCUGUUCCUUGAGUAUGCUCACAAUGACAUGACUUCCGCAAUGCCAGCCUGUAAAUCAACUGUAGGUGCAGAGCUAACUUGAAAAGAAUAUUGUGUUGUCUUCCCUUCAUAUACUUACACCACGUACCUCAUCAUGGUAUCAAGGCAGCUAAUACAUGUAUCUUAGCAGCUGAAAAUUUGUCGAUAUUUAAGUUAGCAGUUAUUUGACAAAGUCUUCUUAAGAGGGAUGAAGGAGCAACAGCCCCAAAACAGGCAGUAUCUAUUUGCAAUUCUGUGUUAGACUUUCAUGAAUGAAGUAGUGUUUUCCAGUGUAGCCAACUCUCACAAUUUUAUCAUUAGUCUUAUGGUAUUUGGAAUUUUUCUUGAAGUCCUAGCUUCUAGAGUCAUGUGAAUAUGUAAGAAUCUCACUUGUAUCAAAUGGAAACACAUUUCUGGUCCUUAGAGUUGUGGAGGAAAUCGUGAGAACAUGAUCUCAAUGCACCCCCAAAAGAUUCAGAAACGAGAAUGCAACUUAAAUAAAUAAAUCGUUUGGGUUCUUUUAUUUUAAAUCUCUUCAUUUAGAGCUAAUCUCUUAUUGUUGAGAGACUUGACUCAUCAGAGUUGAGGGCUGGCAAUAUUAGAUGUAUUGCUAGACUAAUCUCAGCAAACAUGGUCAUUUGAGCUAGUCAAAAAAGAGGGUGUGGUUGGGAUCAUGAAAAAUAUUGACAACUAGAAUUAUUUUUUCCUCUUAAAUCAGAAAUUUUAAAAUUGAAAAAAAAAUCCACUUGCUCAGUAAUUGAUUAAAAAUUGAGGGAACAUUUUGUGAAAAAGUAAAAAAUGCCCUGAUCCGUUUGUGAAAUUUUUAAUCAAACAUUUCAUAAUUUCAAAACUUUUGACCUGUUCUAAUGCACACAUUUGGCUAACUUAAUUAUUACUCAAAAACAUGUUACUUGUUUUAAAAUGUGCAAUGAACAGGUGAUUGAUUUAUGUCACAAAUUGCUUAGAGACUGGUUAAAAACUUCUAUUUUUAUCUUUUGUUGAUAGCCAUCAGUGUACUUUGUGUUGUAUAAAACAGGGACAGACACAGGCCUUGCCCACAGAGCGUACUGGCUUCAAUGGAAUUACUCACAUGGACAAAGCGUGUGUGCGUGUAUGCAGGAUUGAAGCAUAACAUUCCAAUACUGCCAAAACAUAUUACCCAGAGUAGUGCUUUAGUAAGAGUAGUCACACUGAUAUUGGGGACAGAGGUUACUAAGGGCUAGUCUACCCUGGCAGCGCUAAAGCGCUGCUGUGGCAGCGCUUUAAUGUUCCUUGUGGUCACGGAGCAGCGCUGGGAGAGAGCUCUCCCAGUGCUCUAAAAUAAUCCCCUCCAUGAGGGACGUAGCUACCAGCGCUGGGAGCAUGUCUACCAGCGCUGAUGCGCUGUGUACUCUGGUGCUUUACAACACUGAAACUUGCUGCUGUCAGGGGGGUGUUUUUUCACACCCUUGAGCGAGAAAGUUGCAGCACUAUAAACUGCCAGUGUAGAGAAGCCCUAAGAGCAGUAAGCAUUGCACCCAGUACAAAUUCAGGAUUGGACCUGUAAUUAUAAAAUUUGGUGUCAUAUUGUAAAACAAAUGCAUGGCAUUCCAUCCCAUUAUUUGGAAAUACUUGAUGUAACCCAUCUGUAUUUAUUUUGUUAAUAUGUAACUGCACUUUUAUUUUUCUUAGCUACAUAUAUCAUAAAUACUGUAUGUCAGACA